GCCCUAGGGACUCAGUUCCAGUG
rnacentral:miRNA from 1 species